GAUGAACGCUGGCGGCGUGCCUAAUACAUGCAAGUCGAGCGAACAGACGAGGAGCUUGCUCCUCUGACGUUAGCGGCGGACGGGUGAGUAACACGUGGAUAACCUACCUAUAAGACUGGGAUAACUUCGGGAACCCGGAGCUAAUACCGGAUAAUAUCUUGAACCGCAUGGUUCAAUAGUGAAAGACGGUUUUGCUGUCACUUAUAGAUGGAUCCGCGCCGCAUUAGCUAGUUGGUAAGGUAACGGCUUACCAAGGCAACGAUGCGUAGCCGACCUGAGAGGGUGAUCGGCCACACUGGAACUGAGACACGGUCCAGACUCCUACGGGAGGCAGCAGUAGGGAAUCUUCGGCAAUGGGCGAAAGCCUGACGGAGCAACGCCGCGUGAGUGAUGAAGGUCUUCGGAUCGUAAAACUCUGUUAUUAGGGAAGAACAAAUGUGUAAGUAACUAUGCACGUCUUGACGGUACCUAAUCAGAAAGCCACGGCUAACUACGUG
rnacentral:rRNA from 1 species